GCUUACUUUGGCAGCAUAUAACACUAAAAUUAGAAUACAGAGAAUAUAUGCAUGGACCCUCAACAAGGAUGACAAGCAAAUUCAUGAAGUGUUCCUUUUAUUU
ensembl:snRNA U6 U6 spliceosomal RNA